UCCACGUCGAAAGGGGUGGUCGCGUG
rnacentral:sRNA from 1 species